rnacentral:rRNA from 1 species
AUUGAACGCUGGCGGCAUGCUUUACACAUGCAAGUCGAACGGUAACAGGCCUUCGGGUGCUGACGAGUGGCGAACGGGUGAGUAAUGCAUCGGAACGUACCCAGAGGUGGGGGAUAACGCAGCGAAAGCUGUGCUAAUACCGCAUGUGAUCUGAGGAUGAAAGCGGGGGACCGAGCAGCAAUGUUUGGCCUCGCGCCUUUGGAGCGGCCGAUGUCGGAUUAGCUAGUUGGUGGGGUAAAGGCCUACCCAGGCGACGAUCCGUAGCUGGUCUGAGAGGACGACCAGCCACACUGGGACUGAGACACGGCCCAGACUCCUACGGGAGGCAGCAGUGGGGAAUUGUGGACAAUGGGCGCAAGCCUGAUCCAGCAAUGCCGCGUGCGGGAAGAAGGCCUUCGGGUUGUAAACCGCUUUUGGCAGGAACGAAACGGUGUCCGCUAAUACCGGGCGCUAAUGACGGUACCUGCAGAAUAAGCACCGGCUAACUACGUG